rfam:Pichia membranifaciens NRRL Y-2026 unplaced genomic scaffold PICMEscaffold_7, whole genome shotgun sequence.
GCUUUGGUGGCCCAGCUGGUUAAGGCGUCAGUCUCAUAAUCUGAAGAUCGCGAGUUCGAAUCUCGCCUAGAGCA